rnacentral:rRNA from 1 species
AUGGUGCUGGAGACGCCUCCGAGCCAGUUGUGCGGUGGCUGCGCGCCGCCGCUGAGUGGUUGGCUCGACUGCUUCAAGGCUAGGGAGGGCACUGCCCGCGGCGAGUCUGUCCAUUCUUCUGCAUCGAGCCGGGAGAGGCAUGCCCCAUGGCAGCUUGUCCGGUCCCGUGGCCAUCGCCACCAGGCUGCUGCACCCCCUCCGCCUUCCCCGCCCAUCAGGCAGCGCACCGGCAUCUCAGACUGGCUGCUUAACCGGUGCUUUCACUGCCUCCUACCUCGACACCGAGCUCGCCACUGCAAGAACCCCAUAACCUGCCGCCGUUGUUUCCUCUCGGGUCACAGCGCUAGGGAGUGCACCAACAGGCCAGCUCCGCACCGCCGGCCAAGUUUCUACUCCGGGCGCUCCAGGCCCGCCGUUCGUGCCCCUGCCGGUCCCUCGCGGACGCCGCCUGCUCCCCCUGCUUGUGCCUCCACGACGCCUCCGCCUGGCCAUGCAAUGGCCUGGAACGGCGACCACAGGUCGCGUCCCGCCGUGGGGUCCGCAGUGCUCCACGCGACCCCUGCCACGCGACAAGAGGCGCUUGUGCUGGCCACCAGUGCUCUCCUUACGUGGUUCGACAGGGAGCUGAGAGCCACGAAGGAAGUGAUCACCGCCGCAUUCAACAAGCUCACCGGGGCGCUCCACGCCGAGCGAGAGCGCGUCUGCCACCCUGCCGCGACGCCUAGGGACGACCGGGACGAUGAUGAUGAUCGUCGCCAUCGCGAAGACCCUGGCCAUCAGGGACAGGACGACUCCAGGAGCAACAGGGGAGGGGCGACGGGGUGCGCCGUAGCCCAUCUCGAGCGCCAAAGGACGGUGCCCGCGACCUGGACCGUGGCCACGACCAAGGCGGCCGUGAUGUCUAUCGUCUCCGCGACGGGCGUGACAUGGUGCAACGGGACGCUGUGCCGCAGCUGCUGCUUCGCGGCUCUGGCUCAAACAGUGCUGUAG